rnacentral:rRNA from 1 species
CCUACGGGAGACAGCAGUGAGGAAUAUUGGUCAAUGGCCGUAAGUCUGAACCAGCCAAGCCGCGUGAGGGAAGACUGCCCUAUGGGUUGUAAACCUCUUUUGUGCGAGGAUAAAGGUAUCCACGUGUGGCUGUUUGCAGGUACCGCAUGAAUAAGGACCGGCUAAUUCCGUGCCAGCAGCCGCGGUAAUACGGAGGGUCCUGGCGUUAUCCGGAUUUAUUGGGUUUAAAGGGUGCGUAGGCGGUUCGUUAAGUUAGCGGUGAAAUUUUGUGGCUCAACCACGGGAGGGCGGCGGAAACGGGAGAGCUUGAGGGUGCGGAAGGUAGGCGGAAUGCGUGGUGUAGCGGUGAAAUGCUUAGAUAUCACGCAGAACACCGAUUGCGAAGGCAGCCUGCCGAGGUGUUACUGACGCUGAGGCACGAAAGCGUGGGGAUCGAACAGGAUUAGAUACCCGGGUAGUC